rnacentral:tRNA from 1 species
CAAAGAAUAGUUUAAUUUAAAAUAUUAAUUUUGGAGAUUAAAGAUAUUAAGGUUUAAUUUCUUUGAAGUUUUAAAAGUUGUACAUAU